UCUCGGGUGACGAGUGGCGGACGGGUGAGUAAUGUCUGGGAAACUGCCCGAUGGAGGGGGAUAACUACUGGAAACGGUAGCUAAUACCGCAUAACGUCGCAAGACCAAAGAGGGGGACCUUCGGGCCUCUUGCCAUCGGAUGUGCCCAGAUGGGAUUAGCUAGUAGGUGGGGUAACGGCUCACCUAGGCGACGAUCCCUAGCUGGUCUGAGAGGAUGACCAGCCACACUGGAACUGAGACACGGUCCAGACUCCUACGGGAGGCAGCAGUGGGGAAUAUUGCACAAUGGGCGCAAGCCUGAUGCAGCCAUGCCGCGUGUAUGAAGAAGGCCUUCGGGUUGUAAAGUACUUUCAGCGAGGAGGAAGGUGUUGUGGUUAAUAACCGCAGCAAUUGACGUUACUCGCAGAAGAAGCACCGGCUAACUCCGUGCCAGCAGCCGCGGUAAUACGUAGGGUGCGAGCGUUAAUCGGAAUUACUGGGCGUAAAGCGUGCGCAGGCGGUUUUGUAAGACAGGCGUGAAAUCCCCGGGCUCAACCUGGGAACUGCGCUUGUGACUGCAAGGCUAGAGUACGGCAGAGGGGGGUGGAAUUCCACGUGUAGCAGUGAAAUGCGUAGAGAUCUGGAGGAAUACCGGUGGCGAAGGCGGCCCCCUGGACAAACACUGACGCUCAUGUGCGAGAGCGUGGGAGAGCAAACAAGAUUAUAUACCCUGGUACUCCACGCCGUAAACGAUGUCUACUUGGAUGUUGUGUCCUUGAGGCGUGCCUUCCCGAGCUAACUCGUUAACUCGCCCGGCGUAG
rnacentral:rRNA from 1 species